rnacentral:rRNA from 1 species
CACAGGUUGUGAACUCGAAGAGUAGGGCGGGACACGUGGUAUCCUGUCUGAAUAUGGGGGGACCAUCCUCCAAGGCUAAAUACUCCUGACUGACCGAUAGUGAACCAGUACCGUGAGGGAAAGGCGAAAAGAACCCCGGCGAGGGGAGUGAAAAAGAACCUGAAACCGUGUACGUACAAGCAGUAGGAGCCCACUAGUUGGGUGACUGCGUACCUUUUGUAUAAUGGGUCAGCGACUUAUAUUCUGUAGCAAGGUUAACCGUAUAGGGGAGCCGCAGGGAAACCGAGUCUUAACUGGGCGUUAAGUUGCAGGGUAUAGACCCGAAACCCGGUGAUCUAGCCAUGGGCAGGUUGAAGGUUGGGUAACACUAACUGGAGGACCGAACCGACUAAUGUUGAAAAAUUAGCGGAUGACUUGUGGCUGGGGGUGAAAGGCCAAUCAAACCGGGAGAUAGCUGGUUCUCCCCGAAAGCUAUUUAGGUAGCGCCUCGUGAACUCAUCUUCGGGGGUAGAGCACUGUUUCGGCUAGGGGGUCAUCCCGACUUACCAACCCGAUGCAAACUACGAAUACCGAAGAAUGUUAUCACGGGAGACACACGGCGGGUGCUAACGUCCGUCGUGAAGAGGGAAACAACCCAGACCGCCAGCUAAGGUCCCAAAGUCAUGGUUAAGUGGGAAACGAUGUGGGAAGGCCCAGACAGCCAGGAUGUUGGCUUAGAAGCAGCCAUCAUUUAAAGAAAGCGUAAUAGCUCACUGGUCGAGUCGGCCUGCGCGGAAGAUGUAACGGGGCUAAACCAUGCACCGAAGCUGCGGCAGCGACGCUUAUGCGUUGUUGGGUAGGGGAGCGUUCUGUAAGCCGUUGAAGGUGGCCUGUGAGGGUUGCUGGAGGUAUCAGAAGUGCGAAUGCUGACAUAAGUAACGAUAAUGCGGGUGAAAAACCCGCACGCCGGAAGACCAAGGGUUCCUGUCCAACGUUAAUCGGGGCAGGGUGAGUCGACCCCUAAGGCGAGGCCGAAAGGCGUAGUCGAUGGGAAACAGGUUAAUAUUCCUGUACUCGGUGUUACUGCGAAGGGGGGACGGAGAAGGCUAUGUUGGCCGGGCGACGGUUGUCCCGGUUUAAGCAUGUAGGCGGAUGUUCCAGGUAAAUCCGGAACGUUACUAACGCUGAGGUGUGAUGACGAGGCACUACGGUGCUGAAGUGACAAAUGCCCUGCUUCCAGGAAAAGCCUCUAAGCAUCAGGUAACAUCAAAUCGUACCCCAAACCGACACAGGUGGUCAGGUAGAGAAUACCAAGGCGCUUGAGAGAACUCGGGUGAAGGAACUAGGCAAAAUGGUGCCGUAACUUCGGGAGAAGGCACGCUGAUGGUA